AGGAAAAGGUCAUGCUUGUAUAAUGGGAAGCCAUAAGAAGGAAAGGUUAUGCGCAUGCUCAGUAGCACGUGGUAGGCCUGUAAGGCACCAAUAUGGCUGAAGAAGGAGAACCACGAGAAAAAACCAGCAAAAGAAGCGAAUGAAAAUGUCUAAAGCGCUCAAGAAGGGUCUUGAACCCUUAGACACUAUUAGAGAUACGAAGGUACUUACUGAAUGGCGGCGGUGUGGUGGUAGAAAUGCUACCGGCAGUAAAGAAUACUCCUUAGAUGUUCCUAGAUAGUCUCGCUAGCCAGACCAUUCCCCAGCCUACAGGUGCAGAAUUCAUCUCGAAUUGACUGGUGGGAGCUACACUUGUUGAUGAAAGGUCGUCGCAAUGACUGAAAUCAUUCUGGAAUAUAAUGGGCAUGCAAUUCAAUCAAAUCCAUGCAAAAAUAAAGACUACUACUAUAUCAGUUUAUUUCAUAGUACAAAAUCUGCUAUUUUACAAAUGACCUUUUGUUAUCAUUGCUAUCACAACUGAACAAGCCAAGCAUUA